rnacentral:rRNA from 1 species
UACGAAGGUGGCAAGCGUUACUCGGAAUUACUAGGCGUAAAGGGCAGGUAGGUGGUUUGAUAAGUCUGUUGUGAAAGCUCCCGGCCCAACUGGGAGAGGUCAACAGAAACUAUCAGGCUUGAGUAUGGGAGAGGGUACUGGAAUUCCUGGUGUAGCGGUGAAAUGCGCAGAGAUCAGGAGGAACACCGAUGGCGAAAAGCAGGUACCUGGACCAUUACUGACACUCAGCUGCGAAAGCUAGGGGAGCAAACAGG